GCUAUCGGUUGUAUUAUCACCUUCUGGAGCACGUGUGGCCAGUUUUCCCGGAACCGCCCCUUCAAUUCGCCUUUAAAAGCGAACACCGUGCUGGCCAGCUUCACAUUUGGGCAGCAGUGGCGGCAACUUGUUCGUCGGCCCUGUUCUCAUCACUUGUCAUACGCAGGCAUUCCUGCCGCUUUUCCUGCUGUCAACCACAGCCUUGCUCCCUGGUGAACCCGAAUGCCCUUCCAGCCCGAUACCACUGACGCCGCUCUGCUAUCAACCGCACUACCCCUACCGUACUGCUCCGGUCGUCAUCUCCGCCUUCUGCGCAUCAUCCAAGUCUACGAUGACGUCACCAACCACAGUCGAUAUAAGAAGGCACCAGUGCGACAGUUUCUUCAGUGGGCGCGGGACCAUCACUGUCAACAUGUCUCACACUCCGCGCUUUUGCGCAUUACAGGUGACGAAAACUGACCAAGUGUGGGAGACAGUACAGCUGUGGACAGCACAACUGAUGACACCUUAAACGAUGACAGCUCAUUUAUUGAUGCUGACAGUGACCUUUCCUUUGAAGCUCACCUCGACUGAGUAUUCUGUGCUCGGGGAAGUGAAUUUCAAGAUGUCAAAGCCAAGUGAAGUCACCUCGGCUGCGGUGCCUGGUUUUGGGACAGAGGUAGACCCAUGCCAAAACGGCUUCCUUGCACUGCCUCAGCCUGCAGCACACACUGAUGAGACAUAUGUUUAUUAAAGCUGUUAUUUCCUUCCCCUAAUUCAAUAACAGCCAAUUUUAGUAGCUGCAAAUCAAGCUGACUUCAGAAAACUGUUGAUUUUUUAGUUGCUUCUAGUAGCUUAUUUCGUGGUUAAUUUUGUAGCUGGGCAUUGUGAUGACGUAACGUCAAGUGCAUGCCGUGCCACUUCGUCAUCACGGGCACUGAUAUCAGCAGCGGAUAAACAACCGCUGCCUAUAGAA